rnacentral:lncRNA from 1 species
CAGCUGCGACGCUGACGAACGCUGAGGCGGUGGCGGCGACGAACAAGGCUGUGGGGAUUCCUCGGUGCAGUUGUCAGGAGAUAUAACAGACUUUCAACUUAAAGAGAGAAAGAAAGAAAGCACCAAGAUGGGUGAAAAGAAGCCAGAGCCUUUGGACUUCGUCAAAGAUUUCCAGGAAUACCUGACACAGCAGACGCAUCAUGUGAACAUGAUUUCGGGAUCAGUUAGUGGGGACAAAGAAGCAGAGACUCUUCAGGGAGGUAGACUUAUUUUAAUACUACUGAAAAGUUCACAUUGGUAAAUGUGUUAAUGCUCCUGUAUAGCUUUUCAUUCUGUGAC